CGAUUCUUUGCUUUGGAUUAGUGGGGUUGUCUUCAUUUCUGCAGAUUUUUUGUUGUGGUUAAUGGAUUUGGAUAGUAUUGAGUGUGUAUCAUCUUCUGAUGGUCUCGAUGAAGAUGAGAUCCAUCUUCAUCACACUCUUCAUCCUUAUUCCCAUUCUCAUCAUCAUCCAGAGUUGUCAGCGACGAAGCCACGUAAUGGAAGCAAUAAUAGCGGUAUAACAGUUCCCACUGCGACUGCUCCCGCCACUAGCGUCCAUGAAUUGCUUGAGUGCCCUGUCUGUACCAAUUCUAUGUACCCUCCCAUCCAUCAGUGCCACAAUGGACAUACCUUAUGUUCUACAUGUAAAACACGGGUUCAUAAUCGUUGCCCUACUUGUAGACAAGAGCUUGGAGAUAUUAGGUGCUUAGCACUCGAG
rnacentral:misc_RNA from 1 species